GCAUGUGUGGCUUAAGGGUAAAAUCUAUGGUUGACAUCGAUGGGCUCCCGGUUCGAGUCCGGGCACACGCA